rnacentral:rRNA from 1 species
GAAAUCAGUUCAGCACUAAGUCACUUUGUCUAUAUGGCAAAUGUGAGAUGCAGUGUAUGGAACGUCAAUAUUCUAGUAUGAGAAAUUAACGAUUUAAGUCCUUCUUAAAUGAGGCCAUUUACCCAUAGAGGGUGCCAGGCCCGUAUAACGUUAAUGAUUAUUAGAUGAUGUUUCCAAAGAGUCGUGUUGCUUGAUAGUGCAGCACUAAGUGGGUGGUAAACUCCAUCUAAAACUAAAUAUAACCAUGAGACCGAUAGUAAACAAGUACCGUGAGGGAAAGUUGAAAAGAACUCUGAAUAGAGAGUUAAAUAGUACGUGAAACUGCUUAGAGGUUAAGCCCGAUGAACCUGAAUAUCCGUUAUGGAAAAUUCAUCAUUAGAAUUGUAAUAUUUAAUCAAUAUUAUAACGAUAGUGUGCAUUUUUUCCAUAUAAGGACAUUGUAAUCUAUUAGCAUGUAUGGAAUUUAUCAAACAAUUUUGAUAAGAGUUUAUUUAAAUUAGAGUGCUUGCAUUUUAACAUAAAAUAAAUUUCAAAAAUUUGAUAAAGUGCUGAUAGAUUAUAUGAGUACAGUGCGUUAAUUUUUCGGAAUUAUAUAAUGGCAUGAUUAUCAUUGAUUUUUAUGUUUAUUAUAAGCACUUGUAUGAUUAACAAUGCGAAAG